AGACGGAAACGACUGCUAAUACCGAAUACGUUCUUUAGGUCGCAUGACUUUAGGAAGAAAGGGUGGCCUCUACUUGUAAGCUAUCGCCUGAAGAGGGGUUUGCGUCUGAUUAGGUAGUUGGUGAGGUAACGGCCCAACCAAGCCGACGAUCAGUAGCCGGUCUGAGAGGAUGAACGGCCACACUGGAACUGAGACACGGUCCAGACUCCUACGGGAGGCAGCAGUGGGGAAUCCUUCCGCAAUGGGCGAAAGCCUGACGGAGCAACGCCCGCGUGAGUGAUGACGGCCUUCGGGUUGUAAAGCUCUGUGAUCGGGGACGAACGGUCAGCAGACCAAUACUCUGCUGAAGUGACGGUACCCCGAAUAGCAAGCCACGGCUAACUACGUGCCAGCAGCCGCGGUAAUACGUAGGUGGCAAGCGUUGUCCGGAAUUAUUGGGCGUAAAGCGCGCGCAGGCGGCUUCUUAAGUCCAUCUUAAAAGUGCGGGGCUUAACCCCGUGAUGGGAUGGAAACUGAGAGGCUGGAGUAUCGGAGAGGAAAGUGGAAUUCCUAGUGUAGCGGUGAAAUGCGUAGAGAUUAGGAAGAACACCGGUGGCGAAGGCGACUUUCUGGACGACAACUGACGCUGAGGCGC
rnacentral:rRNA from 1 species